UAUUGUGCUCGGGCCUUCAAGAGU
rnacentral:piRNA from 1 species